UGCCACAGCCAUAUCACUCUGCAGCCCAAGACUGGUUGCCCACUGAAGCUAAGCAGGGCUGAGCCUGGUCAGUACCUGGAUGGGAGACCUCCUGGGAAAACUAGGUUGCUGUUGCUG
rnacentral:rRNA from 1 species